rnacentral:rRNA from 1 species
GUGCCAGCCGCCGCGGUAAUACCGGCAGCCCGAGUGAUGGCCGAUCUUAUUGGGCCUAAAGCGUCCGUAGCUGGCUGCGCAAGUCCGUCGGGAAAUCCACUCGCCCAACGAGUGGGCGUCCGACGGAAACUGCACAGCUUGGGGCCGGAAGACUCGAGGGGUACGUCCGGGGUAGGAGUGAAAUCCCGUAAUCCUGGACGGACCGCCGAUGGCGAAAGCACCUCGAGAGGACGGACCCGACGGUGAGGGACGAAAGCCAGGGUCUCGAACCGGAUUAGAUACCCGAGUAGUCC